rnacentral:rRNA from 1 species
UACGUAGGCAGCAAGCGUUGUUCGGAAUUACUGGGCGUAAAGAGUGCGUAGGCGGUUUGGCAAGUUUGGUGUGAAAUCUCCCGGCUUAACUGGGAGGGUGCGCCGAAAACUGCCAGGCUAGAGUGUGGGAGAGGAAAGUGGAAUUCCUGGUGUAGCGGUGAAAUGCGUAGAUAUCAGGAGGAACACCUGCGGUGUAGACGGCUUUCUGGACCACUACUGACGCUGAGGCACGAAAGCGUGGGGAGCAAAC